UUUAAUUACCGAGUGUAUAUUUCCUAAGCUCCCCGAAGUAAGAAGAUCUAUUUAUUUUAUGGAUUUUAUUUUUUAGAAUAGUCGUUUAUAGUGUUGCAUAACUAUACAAAAAAAAAUAAUUAGUGGUGAAAGGCUAUCCAAUUCUUACUGAUAUCUGGAUUAAAUCAAAAAAUAUUUAGUAUUAAGGACAAUUUUACAACACUAAGAUUGUAAAAUCACAAGAGCUUAUAUAUUUCGUGUUAAAAUGCAUUAUUAAUAUAAAUGCAUGAAUAGAAUAUGAAAAAAUAUGUUUAUAUUAUGACUUUUAUGAUUAUAGAUUUAUAGAUUUAUUAAUAUUUUAAGAAUUUUAAUAAUGUUUAAAUGAGUAUAAUAUAACAUAAAAAUAUAAGGAACUCGGCAAAUUUUUCCCUCAACUGUUUAUCAAAAACAUAGCUAGUUGAGUUAUAAUAAUUAGUAGUUCUCUGCCCAGUGAAUAUUUUUAACGGCCGCAGUACACUGACUGUGCAAAGGUAGCGUAAUAAUUUGGCUUUUAAUUGAAGUCGAGUAUGAAUGAGUGAAUGGGGGAAUGCUGUCUUAUACUUUUUGUUUAAAAUUUACUUAGGAAGUGAAAAUUCUUCUAUGUUUUAACCAAAAGACGAGAAGACCCUAAAAAUUUUUACUAAAGGGCAAUGAUUAUUCUCUUAUGUUUUUGUUGGGGCAACAGGUUACUAAUAUAAAAGUAACUAUAAAUAAGGGAAUUAUUUAAGCGAGUUUUAGCUAAUAAUAAUUAAAAUUACUUUAGGGAUAACAGCAUAAUUUUACAAAAAAGACUUGUGACCCUCGAUGUUGGAUUAGGUGCUAUUUAAGUUAACCAUUUAAAUAGCUGGUUCUGUUCGAACUAUAGUUACCU
rnacentral:rRNA from 1 species